AGGGUUUGAUUAUGGCUCAGGAUGAACGCUGGCGGCGUGCUUAACACAUGCAAGUCGAGCGAAGCACCUACUUUGGAUUUCUUCGGAAUGACGAGGUUUGUGACUGAGCGGCGGACGGGUGAGUAACGCGUGGGCAACCUGCCUCACACAGGGGGAUAACAGUUAGAAAUGACUGCUAAUACCGCAUAAGACCACGAAACCGCAUGGUUUUGAGGUAAAAACUCCGGUGGUGUGAGAUGGGCCCGCGUCUGAUUAGGUAGUUGGUGCGGUAACGGCGCACCAAGCCGACGAUCAGUAGCCGACCUGAGAGGGUGACCGGCCACAUUGGGACUGAGACACGGCCCAA
rnacentral:rRNA from 1 species